UACGUAGGCAGCGAGCGUUGUUCGGAGUUACUGGGCGUAAAGCGUGCGUAGCGGUGCCAUAAGUCUGUUGUGAAAUCUCCCGGCUUAACUGGGAGGGUGCGGUGGAAACUGUGGUGCUGGAGUGUGGGAGAGGGUAGCGGAAUUCCUGGUGUAGGCGGUGAAAAUGCGUAGAUAUCUGGAGGAACACCGGUGGCGAAGGCGGCAUCCUGGACCGGUAUUGACGCUGAGGCGCGAAAGCCAGGGGAGCAACGGG
rnacentral:rRNA from 1 species